GGCUUGAUAGUGUAAUGGAUCAGCGCGACAGACUGGAUAUCUGUAAGUGCGGGUUAGAGUCCCAUCUGAGGUU
rnacentral:tRNA from 1 species